rnacentral:rRNA from 1 species
CAGAGGUCCCGAGCGUUGUUCGGAUUCACUGGGCGUAAAGGGUGCGUAGGUGGUGAGGUAAGUCGGAUGUGAAAUCUCCGGGCUCAACCCGGAAACUGCAUUGGAAACUACCUUGCUGGAGGAUUUGAGGGGGGAUUGGAAUACUUGGUGUAGCAGUGAAAUGCGUAGAUAUCAAGUGGAACACCAGUGGCGAAGGCGAAUCCCUGGAAUAUACCUGACACUGAGGCACGAAAGCUAGGGGAGCAAACAGGAUUAGAUACCCUGGUAGUCCUAGCCCUAAACGGUGCUUGCUUGCUGUAAGAGGAAUCGACCCCUCUUGUGGCGGAGCUAACGCGUUAAGCAAGCCGCCUGGGAAGUACGGUCGCAAGAUUA